GAAGGAGAGAAGGAGAGAAACAUCAAUGUAUGGUUGCCUCUCGUGCAACCCCUGCUGGGAACUGGCCUGCAACCCAGAGGUAAAAGAGAAAAAGAAAGCAAGGGAAAGUUGUAGAAGAGGAAGGCGUGAACGGCAAAGACAAGAACCGAGGAGGGCGAGAUGCGGAGCUUUUCCGUCACAAAGCGUGGUGUGCGCACCGCGAGGAGGCUCCUGAGGGCCAGCUACGGAAGGCAAACACCAUACGCCAUCCACCUGGAGUAUUUGGUUCAUGGACUAUAUGGACUCCUGGGCUCACACUCCCUCCUGCGACCUUGUACCCGCACACAGGAGACUCUAAAUGUUAAUGAGACACUGUACUCUGCAUGGUUACGGUCUCUCUGGGCACGUACAACCCGAAAGAGCUUGGCCUCGACAUUUCACUUCAUCACUGUGUGUGAACCAUUCUUACAUCACUCCAACUUGAUUCUGUAUAAUCAAAAACCAACAUCAACCCUAAACUUCUCAUCCAUGUAUAUCAAGCAAAGCAAGAAAUGGUACAAACCACGGAGCAGAAUACACUAAUAUCCAGGUUUGACAACAGCUGGCAUUUAGAUUUAACCCUCCCAACGGACCCAAGGUAAGUGCUACUACCAUUCUGACGUUCUGACUCAGGACAUGUGGGCACAGAGACUCUGAGUAACUUCCCAAGAUCUCACAGCUAGUCAUGGUGGAGCUUGAUUUAAUCUACAGCACUUGGAUCCAGAACUCCUUCCCAACCACUAGGUAAUCCUGCCUCCCAAGUCACUAUUUUGUCAUCCAAAAUAGCUGUGCGUUUUCGAAAUUUGCUCAGCUUUCCCAUGCCUGAUGCUGUCCCCAUGUUUUCUUUCUCUCUGUUUAGCCAUCCGACAAUAUCAGGCCAAGUAAACACUCUUCUAGGUCAAAAGUUGGAAUCCGCUUCAGUUUUGCAGUCUCUGCCCUCGAUUUCUGACCAGUGACUCGCCUCCUGACUUCACAGUUGACAAAGUCAAUCACCUUCCGGGUUUGCCUGGGACCCAGGGAGCCAGGAAAGCCGGAUCCUAGGACUUUUGGAGCUAUAUAAAAAUGGUAAGUUCCGGCGGACCAAGCUGCAAAUUCUGCCAAAAGUUAAGCACUCAUGAUAACUAAUGAUGGUGCAUCAUGUCAUGAACGCGAAAUUCAAAGCCGCCCCAUACUAUUCAAAUAAUCUAAAAAAUCACGCGGUAAAACAGCAUUACUCCCUUUUUCUUCGCAAUUCAGGUCAGCCCUGAGCCUGUCAUUUCGUCACUGGCUCAAGUGUCCCUAGUAAGAGAGUCCCCAGGACUGCACGCAACAAGCAGGGGCCACUCCUGAGCAGUCAACUUCGUCUCACACAGAGCCGUAGGUGCCACCUCCGCAAGUCAUCGUGACCGCGACACCUAGCCUGAGGGGCGCGAGUCCCCCGCCCCCCAAGAGUCCCGGGCCUGACCCCAGCUGUGCGCACUCCCGCGCCUCCCGCAGCACCCCUAUGGGCGCACUCACUUGUAGGGUACCGGCCA